rnacentral:rRNA from 1 species
UACGAAGGGGGGCUAGCGUUGCUCGGAAUGACUGGGCGUAAAGGGCGCGUAGGCGGCUUGCACCGUCAGAUGUGAAAUUCCUGGGCUUAACCUGGGGGCUGCAUUUGAUACGUGUGGGCUUGAGUGCGGAAGAGGGUCGUGGAAUUCCCAGUGUAGAGGUGAAAUUCGUAGAUAUUGGGAAGAACACCGAUGGCGAAGGCAGCCCCCUGGGCCAACACUGACGCUCAUGCACGAAAGCGUGGGGAGCAAACAGG